rnacentral:lncRNA from 1 species
UAACUUUAGGCAUUUUGUUUAGAAUGUGAGUUAGAACAGAGUUAACACUUGAAUUAUGAAUGAGAUAGUUUUUAAUUCAUUGCUUAUUUUAAGAUAAUACAAAAGAAAUUUGACCAAAAUGUUAUAAAUUGCUUUUUAAAAUCUGUGUCAUUACUUUUUGUAGCUUUCUUGAGAUCUUAAAAAUUGUAUUGACUUUGUUAUAAUCCCAUGUUGAAUGUCUUUAUGCCUAAAUCCUGAAUAGAAUGGGGAAUGCAUCAGCAGCCCCCACACCCCCCUCCAGAUCAGCCAUGGAUGCCACCAACACCAGGCCCAAUGGACAUUGUUCCUCCUUCUGAAGACAGCAACAGUCAGGACAGUGGGGAAUUUGCCCCUGACAACAGGCAUAUAUUUAACCAGAACAAUCACAACUUUGGUGGACCACCUGAUAAUUUUGCAGUGGGGCCGGUGAACCAGUUUGACUAUCAGCAUGGGGCUGCUUUUGGUCCACCACAAGGUGGAUUUCAUCCUCCUUAUUGGCAACCAGGACCUCCAGGACCACCAGCACCCACACAGAACCGAAGAGAGCGGCCACCAUCCUUCCGGGACCGACAGCGCUCACCUAUUGCACUUCCAGUGAAGCA